CAAGCCCAACCUUCAGAUUCUACCCUAAAACCACGUCUGAAGGGGCGGAGUAGCUGGGCCCUGGGCUGUCUCGCGCAGGCGCAGUACUUUUUGAGUCAGUUGCGCAGCCUCAGUGCUGAGGGAAACGUUAGCCGCGCAGGCGCCGUGGCGCAUGAUGACGGUCGGUUUUUGCCGUUAAAAUCGCGACUGGUAAGCCUGUGAGGGAGCUAGGCACCACCUCCGGAGGAGGCUCUGCGGUGACCCAGGGCCGAUCCUGUGGGCAGGGCAAAGUGCAGUGCGUUAGCAGAAGGGCUCCUGCAGUGGAAGCAGACACAGACCGAGGCCCCCAGCGCUGUGCUGAGAGGAGCUCUGUGGCGCGGACUGGUGGCUGGGUGGGCACCCAGCGGCAAAGCGCGGUUCCUGAACACUGCAGAUACCUCGGGAGGAGGCCGGAGGCGCCCCACGGAAGGGUUAUCAAUUAUUAAAGAGAAAAAUCACUUUACUAUGAGGAGCUCUGGAAGACAGCACCCUCCCUAAUCAAGUGAGCAAACUUACCAUCAUGGGCCAGCUGAAGUCAUGAAGGAAGGAAGGAUGGAUCACUUGUGCAGUGUUCUCCCCCAAAAUGCUUAACUCACAUUGACUCAGGAGGAAACAAGACAGCUUACAGGACAAGAGUCUCAGACUUCUCAGAAGUGCUAAUGUCAUGAAAGACAGAAUAAUGUAGCAAAAUGUUUUACAAUAAAAGAACCAAAAACAUGAUAUGCAACGCCUUAACUUUGAUCCCAAAUCUAAACAAAAUAGAUAUUAACAAUAUUACUGGCUUCUGGCCAGAGCAGAAUGAAGAGAUAAAUUUAACUUCCCACCUGCAAACGAACAGACAACCCCAGAAAAUAUGUAAU